rnacentral:rRNA from 1 species
CGGGGUGCACCAGGCGCGAAAACUUUACAAUGCCGGCAACGGCGAUAAGGGAACCUCGAGUGCCAGGUUACAAAUCUGGCUGUCGUGAUGCCUAAAAAGCAUUGCAUAGCAAGGGCCGGGCAAGACCGGUGCCAGCCGCCGCGGUAACACCGGCGGCUCGAGUGGUAACCGUUAUUAUUGGGUCUAAAGGGUCUGUAGCCGGCCGGGUAAGUCUCUUAGGAAAUCUGGCAGCUUAACUGUCAGGCUUUCAGGAGAUACUGCCUGGCUCGAGGCCGGGAGAGGUGAGAGGUACUUCAGGGGUAGGGGUGAAAUCUUGCAAUCCUUGAAGGACCACCAGUGGCGAAGGCGUCUCACCAGAACGGACCUGACGGCAAGGGACGAAAGCUAGGGGCACGAACCGGAUUAGAUACCCGGGUAGUCCUAGCCGUAAACGAUACUCGCUAGGUGUCGGCCACGGUGCGACCGUGGUCGGUGCCGUAGGGAAGCCGUGAAGCGAGCCACCUGGGAAGUACGGCCGCAAGGCUGAAACUUAAAGGAAUUGGCGGGGGAGCACAAGGGCGAAUCGCG